AAAUCGUAUAGAGGCAGCGAUGCGUCAGAGUAAAAGCUGGAGUCGGCAGACGGAGAUAGCUUUGAAAGGUAAUCAUCGCCGAAGAUGCUGCAUUGGCGGAUGCACUUCUGGGGUCAUGGGAAAUACUCAUGGCACUCCUUCGUUAAGAAGAGGAGCUAUUAACAAC
rnacentral:ncRNA from 2 species